rnacentral:misc_RNA from 1 species
AAACCUUCAAGCUCAGCUUGGUGUUGGGUGACUGUCCGCCGCCCCCGGGCGCGUGGACUCGCCUCAAAAUUAUUGGCGGCCGGUACAUUGGCUUCGAGCGCAGCAGAAACGCGAACUCGGGCCCGUCGUAUUGGCUCCCAGAAGCUAUCUUCACAA